AGCAGCUAAGAAUCUUCCGCAAUGGGCGAAAGCCUGACGGAGCGACGCCGCGUGAACGAAGAAGGCCGUGAGGUUGUAAAGUUCUUUUCGGGAGGGGGAACAACCGUGGCAGGGAAUGGCCGCGGGAUGACGUGAAUCCCGGAAUAAGCCCCGGCUAACUACGUGCCAGCAGCCGCGGUAACACGUAGGGGGCGAGCGUUGUUCGGAAUCAUUGGGCGUAAAGGGCGUGCAGGCGGUCGUGCAAGUCCGGCGUGAAAGACCCCGGCCCAACCGGGGGGACGCGCUGGAAACUGCAGGGCUUGAGUACAGGAGGGGAUGCCGGAAUUCCAGGUGUAGGGGUGAAAUCUGUAGAUAUCUGGAAGAACACCAAUGGCGAAGGCAGGCAUCUGGCCAUGUACUGACGCUGAGACGCGAAGGUGCGGGGAGCAAACAGGUUUAGAUACCCUGGUAGUCCGCACAGUAAACGAUGUGCACCAGGUGGCGGGGGGUCGACCCCCGGUACCGUAGCUAACGCAUUAAGUGCACCGCCUGGGGAGUAUGCUCGCAAGGGUGAAACUCAAAUGAAUUUGACGGA
rnacentral:rRNA from 1 species